AUACGGAGGAUCCGAGCGUUAUCCGGAUUUAUUGGGUUUAAAGGGAGCGCAGGCGGAGAUGCAAGCGUGACGUCAAAUUUCGGGGCUCAACCCCGUCUCGCGUCGCGAACUGCGUCCCUUGGUUGCGGGAAGGGGAGGCGGAACUCGUGGUGUAGCGGUGAAAUGCAUAGAUAUCACGAAGAACUCCGAUCGCGAAGGCAGCCUUCCGGCCCGUCAACGACGCUCAUGCUCGAAGGUGCGGGUAUCAAACAGGAUUAGAUACCCUGGUAGUCCGCACAGUAAACGAUGGACACCCGCGGUUUGGCCUGUAUGGCUGAGCCGCCAAGCGAAAGCGUUAAGUGUCCCACCUGGGGAGUACGCCGGCAACGGUGAAACUUAAAUGAAUUGGCGGGG
rnacentral:rRNA from 1 species